rnacentral:lncRNA from 1 species
GCACCCAUCGUCCCAAAAUCCCCAAAUCUUCAUCGCCUCCUCGUGAGGUUCGUCGGCGCCGACACCGCCAUCUUGCGGAGCCUGUGGCCAGCGUCGCCGCUUUCUUGUCGAGCCAGGAAAUCGCGGCGCCAUCUUCGCCGCCCUCGCCGGACCAGCGUCGCCACGGAGCUAGCCGGCGGCAUCUGCCAUCGGGCAAGCGCCGCAGCCGACCGCCGCCCUCGUCUCUUCGGCGAUCCAGCAGCUGCCGCCGCCUUUCGUCUGCUAGCUGCUAACGGUUGUCCAACUAGCUCGAUCCCUGUCCGUGCUGCUCCGUGUCCUCUUUCAUUCGUCAGUUUCAGGUAUAUAUCCAUAUCACUCCUUGCAUUGUUACUUUCAUUAAUCAUUUAG